AGAGCGAGAGGGAAAUUCAUUAGAAGAGUGACAGCAAAUCUGGCUGAUGUGAACUUUCUUAACUCCAUGAAGAGCAAAUGGCUGAGAAACAGACCAAGAGUAAAAGGUCAGACGAAUAUAAACUAAAUUAGAAGGAUUAUGUUAAGUCGAAGGCUAGGAGCCGCGCCAACAUCGGCUGUGGAGAGACCUCCGAGAUAAAAGGCUUGAAGACAGAUGCAGAAGUUGCUCUUUUUCUUCUCAAUAGGUAUCUGUGACCUUGCGUGAGGUGGUCACCUUUCCAUUGAAGAGCUUUACUGAAGUGAAUGAUGUGCAGUUGAAGCUGUGAGUGUGUGGUCUCAGUCCUUGGGGACAUUGGAGGGAGGAGCUACGAGCGUGUCCGAAGAAUUACCUGUUUCAGUAAACUGGCCAGUGUGCCGUCAGGUGGUGCUGUGGCAGUUUCCAGCUCUGCCGCACCAGCCGCUGGAGGAUCUGCUGCCGCCCCUGCAGGUUAGUUUUUCCUUCUCGCUUUUUAGUGUGCUUGAUAUACCGUUUCUGCGAAUGCAAACAUCACUGUUGGAAAUGCCCUUCUUUGAUGUACAGUUGACCAUAGUGACCCAUCCCAACUUUUUUUUUUUUUUUUGCUAUCGCUGUAUUUUUUGGAUGUCCCAUCAUGAGCAUUGUUGAAGACCCUUCCACUCAGCCCCCUUUAAGAAACUCGUCUGAUCAGGGUCAGGUGAACCUGAAACCAGACUGAUUUAACAGAGCUUCACAUAUCUAGUCACUCAUUGAACUCACUGACAAAUUUAAAACCUGUGGGGUUUUGCACAUCCCUAUUCCGGAUAUUUUCAAAUGAAAUUAUGGACAGUGUUGGAAUUAUUUUUUUUUUUUGUUUGUUUUUUUUUUUGUAGUAUUUGUAAGCCCUGAGUCAAACUAAACUUACAUGCACUCUUAAUCUUACAGGGCCUUUGUUAUUUUCCUUUUUCUUGUCAGUCUAACACAAUUAAUGAAUUUGUACUCUGCAACUGAUCAACUGAAUGUGAACUAAUCAAGGGUUGAUGUGGAAUGUUGCACAGUGGUCCCCUGUAGAUCCUGUAAGGUUGGAUCUAACGUCUUUCUCUCUUGUCC